CGCCAUAAUUCGACAAACAACAACGUUUGAAGCCAUAUUUUUUCGUCAAUUUUUGGCCAUUGUUAAUUUUCCGGUUGAUUAUUAGAUUUUACAUCAUAGUCUUCAUGGACUUUCACUAACCCGGCCCAUUCUUUUGCUUUUGUUUGUUUUUGAGGCCCUUUCAGCGUCCUUAGCCACUUUUCGGACGGGAAGGGUAGCCGGAUAGAAGACAAACAAGGUUAGUGACUGUACAAUCAAAUUAAUCUUCUACUCGGGAGCAUUUGAUUUGUAAGCAUGGCCAGAAGUAAAGUGCUUGUAAACUUCUUGUCUGUUGAAGACUUGCAGACAAUUCCAAAUAUUGGGCCCCAGUGAGGUUUGCAUCUACUCUUGUAGAUUUGCGUGAGCAUUAUGGCAAUCUCACAGCAGAAAGUUUGCAGACAAUGCUUUGGCAUAAAUUGCCGGACUCUUGUCAUGCUAGAGUUGACUCAAGACACGGUCUGUAAACGCCAGCUCCACCACUUUACGGUGGUGCAAAGAAAAAGAGCUGUCGACACUUCCGUGGUGGAGCUGUGCCCUAUGUAUAUUUGGACAAACGUGAGUAUGAUUUAUAUUUUAUUUGAUAAUUUCAUUUAACGGACAUAUUUCGAAAAUCGAAGAAUGUGGUACCGUGUAAGAACACUUCUAUUGUAGGCUGGUUACUAUUUCGUUUCAAUAUUGUGCAAACUGUGGUGCCAGGAGCUUUUCUCCCGAAUCAGACUUGUGCAUAUUUUGAGAUCUGAUUGCAUAGCAAGUACAUUUCAGUGCUUUCACACCCGGUAAGAACAUUCUCACGCAUGCAAACAUAACUGUUAUGCAUAGUACCUAUGCCGAAACACAACAAAACUAAUAAGCACUUCUUAAAAAAGAAAAAUGCACAUGUUUAUAAAAGUGGUGGCGCUGUUGCUGGUGCGACAACAAAAAUUAAUCCGAUAAUUAGGACAAGCAGUCACAGCCCAGUCAACACAGUCAAUGCUUAAACUCCUUAACCCCCGCCGCGACAAGUGGCGACAACUUUUUAGAACCCAGGGGGAAUCCUGGAAACAUUCUUUUCAUCAGAAGUCACAAAUAGUCUGAUCUGGUUGAUUAUUGAGAGAGUGACUGGUAAUUUCUUUUUAAUGGAGACAUGUUUGAAAUAAAUGAAAUAAAAAAUAAAUAUAAUUCUAUAUAUUUGUAAAAGAUAUGUAAAACAUAUUAAGAUCAAUCAGUUUAUUAAUUAUAUCUGUAGACAGGUCUUACUCUUGAAGAAUAUUAGUUAGUACUUGUUUAAUAAUACUCUUUGUUGACUCAGGAUUCUCCAAGGAAACAGGCACCAGGGGCAAGCUUACACAGAGGAUAAGGAAGACUGUCAAGUAAAUCGUAAUCCACCCAAGAAAGACCCGGGAGGAACUGUAGAGAACCAGCCAGACAGCCCGCCCGCCGAGAUGCCCACCCGGCCGAGCUGUACUUUGUGUAUGCUGACAUGCUGUAAUUUGUUAGUACUUCAAGAUCAUAGAAUGGAAAAUUGUAUCCAAACUGAAGUAUAAAAGUUGGUUUAGGGCAUACUGCAGAUCUUCACAGAUGACUCAGAUCUAAAGAAUGGGCCAAUAGAAUCUUGAAGGUACCAUUGACGUGCAGCAUCUAGGCAUGGUGUGCGCUUUAGUUCAGGCAAAACACCACAUUCUGGACUCAUCCUCAAAAGAUUAGCUUCAAUUUCUGAGGAAUCUACAAACUCUUUGCAUACUACAACUCCUGGUUUAUGUUUUGAUACAUAGAAAUGGUGGUAUUUGGUGAUAUUCUUUAGAGUUUUGAAAUAUGUAUCUAGGAAUGAUUUCCAACUGUGAACUGUGAUUGGCUGCUGAGGGUCAUAAACCAAGUGUGGGAUGUUGUGGCUGGACUUUGAAGAGGCGAAAACAGUGUGGGCAAUUUCAUGAAGAUUCUCGGCAUUACAGCAUCGCCAGAUACCGAAGUGACAGUCAGGAGCAAAUUUGGUGUGCCCAGCCAACAUAGUGUUUAGUGUUACACUCUCAUGCAGUCCUGAAAAUUGUUGGAAGAUCUGUUUAGUAUCAUGAUGUGCCAAUAAGCUCCAGUUAGCUGCGCCUUUUUCCUCCCAGCGUUAGUCCUGCAAUCUGAAUCCAGGAGAUGCAGCUCUGAAUCCAAUAUUUCAGAAGAAUGAAGAUACGAGGAGUUGGUGUGCCAUGUCUGCAGACUGCACCUAUCCAGGAAGCAGCGACUGAUACCCCAUCUCAAGUCUAUUCACCCAGACGUACCCUUACCAGACCAUUUGGCAAAUGGAAGAAGUCACUACAAAUGGUAUGAGGUGGACAAUGCUACCCAAUUCCACGAAGAACACAGAGCCGGUGGAUAAAUGAACCUACCGCAUAUGAGAAUUCCAUAGUUGACAAUUUGGAAAUUGAGGAAGCGAAUGAACGUGAGGACACAAAUGAAAACCAAAUUCAAGUAGAUGAAACAGUGGAUGAGAUAUGUCCACCCGAGCUGCAAGAACUAUCAACAUGUUCCUCUGAGUUAGACACUUGUCAAUCCUUAGGUGAAUGUGGUGAACAUUUGCAAGAAGUGAAAAGAGUUCAUGUUCAUGGACAAAUGUUCUAUUCAGAUUCUUACACAAGAAUUGAAAAAAGAAAAUGCAGCAUAGUGCUUUUUGAUUAUGAAAACAACCGAUGUGUGGGGACUGUUGAGAAGUUUUAUUUGAAUCAACGUUCUGGCAUAUGCUAUGCAAAGUUGCAUGAACUGAAAGUUGUUGGUCUGCUUGUCCCCAGCAUAAGCCAUAUUGUUCGGGUGGAAAGAACUGGAACUUUCAAUAUUGUGCCUGUUGAUAACAUUGUUGAAAAUGUGCUGUUUUUUUUAUGUGAUCCAACAAAAAUGUAUUGCCAAAUUACCAAAUCUAUAUCGCCAGUGUCGUUAAAUGUAGCGCCAUUCCCUUGUCUUGAAUGAAAAAUAACUGAACAGUAUGUUACCAAAAUGUGAGUGGAAAAAAUGUUUGUUUAUAUCAAAGGUCAAGGUUACAACAUUUUAUCAUAGGACAAAAUUCCUUGCUAUUCUUAACAUACAUUUUGUAUUGUAAAAAAUGAAUGCCUAUUUGCAUGAAAAUCGUGACAUCUGCAUGACAUGUAUAUAUUAUGUUUCAAUCAUGUAAUUCUUUAGUCUGUUGUAAAUAUAUACUUCAAAUAAUUAACAAAUCAUUUAACUAAUUAUGUUUCAUGAAUUUGAUUAUUUCUAGUGUUUGAAAAUCGGAUUCCAUUUGCUAUCGAUAAUCGAAUCGAAUCGGACCAAGCAUUUUGAUUUACUAUCAAACAAUAAUCAAAAGUUCAUAAUAUCAUUAAGCAAUACAUUCUUUAUACAUAGUAUCAUCAUGAUCAUUCAAAUGGUUAAACCUGAGAUCAGUAAGUGAUGCUAUAGUGAUGCCACUUGCAACAGUAAGUAAAUUUCCAUAACCUUUCUGUCGUUUAUAACUCAACGAGGAGAGACCGGGAAAUAGUAUCGCCCCUCAACGAAACAACAUAAAAACACAACAAAUACUAAUAAUUGCACAGUAAUUGCAAAAUGAUGCACACCGCAUCAUGUAAGUUAUCUUAGCAUAUUAUCCAUGUAAAAGCAUAUUAAAUAUUUGUGAACCAGCUUAACAUUCAAUAAACUGUUAUAUUGAAAAUUUCAUUAAAAAAUCUUAAUUUGAUAAAACUUUCAAAAAAGGAAAUUAAUGAAUUACAAACGAUACUAAAAAAUGUUUUAAAAACAGAAUGCAUGGAGCCGGGAUCACCGGUAAGACCGGACGCACUACACCAUAAAGACAGGUUAUUGAAGAAGGUUUUAUGAUUUAUAUGAAAAAUUUGUAAUUUUGGGAGAGUUUUUACGCAAAAGUGUUUGCAUUCACCGCAUUUGUGUAAGCGAGUGACCUCCCUGUUAAAAUGACUUCUACGAAAAUUUACCGGAAACAAAAAUUGACAUUUACUCGACAUUUACCACACAAAAAAAAAUACGUAGUUACCGGAAGUAGCAUUAGCAACAUCGAUUUUGGACAACCACUAUCGAUUGUCGCCGACAUAGCAUUGUCAGCGACGAUUAAUCGAUUGUACUCGAUUAUUGUUUCAUCACUAAAUUUAUUUCAGUGAUGAUGAAGUUUUGUGAAUAAAUACAAGUUUUGAAGGUUA